AUGGACGAAAGCCAGGGGAGCGAAAGGGAUUAGAUACCCCUGUAGUCCUGGCCGUAAACGAUGAACACUAGGUGUCGGGGGAAUCGACCCCCUCGGUGUCGUAGCCAACGCGUUAAGUGUUCCGCCUGGGGAGUACGCACGCAAGUGUGAAACUCAAAGGAAUUGACGGGGGCCCGCACAAGCGGUGGAGUAUGUGGUUUAAUUCGAUGCAACGCGAAGAACCUUACCAGGGUUUGACAUCCUGCGAAUCUCUUGGAAACAGGAGAGUGCCUUCGGGAACGCAGUGACAGGUGGUGCAUGGCUGUCGUCAGCUUGUGUCGUGAGAUGUUGGGUUAAGUCCCGCAACGAGCGCAACCCACGUCUUUAGUUGCCAGCAUUUAGUUGGGCACUCUAGAGAGACUGCCGGUGAUAAACCGGAGGAAGGUGUGGAUGACGUCAAGUCAUCAUGCCCCUUACAUCCUGGGCUACACACGUACUACAAUGCUACGGACAAAGGGCAGCAAGUUCGCGAGGACAAGCAAAUCCCAUAAACCGUGGCUCAGUUCAGAUCGUAGGCUGCAACUCGCCUACGUGAAGGCGGAAUCGCUAGUAAUCGCAGGUCAGCAUACUGCGGUGAAUACGUUCCCGGGCCUUGUACACACCGCCCGUCACACCAUGGAUAGUUGGCCACGCCCGAAGCCGUUACUCCAA
rnacentral:rRNA from 1 species